AAUGGGGGAAACCCUGACGCAGCAACGCCGCGUGAGGGAGGAAGGCCUUCGGGUUGUAAACCUCUUUCGUUGGGAAAGAAUAAAAUUGACGGUACCCAAAGAAGAAGCACCGGCUAACUACGUGCCAGCAGCCGCGGUAAUACGUAGGGUGCAAGCGUUAUUCGGAUUUACUGGGCGUAAAGCGCAUGUAGGUGGUUUAGUAAGUUUGAUGUGAAAUCCCUGGACUCAAUUCAGGAACCGCAUCGAAUACUGCUUUACUCGAGUGUAGGAGGGGAGAACGGAAUUUCUGGUGUAGAGGUGAAAUUCGUAGAUAUCAGAAGGAACAACAGUGGCGAAAGCGGUUCUCUAGACUAUAACUGACACUGAGAUGCGACAGCGUGGGGAGCAAA
rnacentral:rRNA from 1 species